rnacentral:rRNA from 1 species
AACGCGAAGAACCUUACCAGGCCUUGACAUGCAGAGAACUUUCCAGAGAUGGAUUGGUGCCUUCGGGAACUCUGACACAGGUGCUGCAUGGCNGUCGUCAGCUCGUGUCGUGAGAUGUUGGGUUAAGUCCCGUAACGAGCGCAACCCUUGUCCUUAGUUACCAGCACGUUAUGGUGGGCACUCUAAGGAGACUGCCGGUGACAAACCGGAGGAAGGUGGGGAUGACGUCAAGUCAUCAUGGCCCUUACGGCCUGGGCUACACACGUGCUACAAUGGUCGGUAACAGAGGGUUGCCAAGCCGCGAGGUGGAGCUAAUCUCACAAAACCGAUCGUAGUCCGGAUCGCAGUCUGCAACUCGACUGNGUGNAGUCGAAUCNUUAGUUAUUGUACANANNANCAUNCCAAAANCGUCNNANGGACNNU